rnacentral:lncRNA from 10 species
GCACACCAAAGCCAAAGGACACGCAGCUGGCCUCAAAGCAGAAGCUGCAUCGGGGCUGGGAAGCCAUUCAGGAGCCCUUUUCUCUCCCCUCGCCCUCACCCUGAGCCCUGGCCGCCACGGCCCACACAGCAGGCCCUCCGGAGAGAGAUGUCAGGACUCCGAGUGGAGACACUUUAUCCGCAUGUUCUUGACCCUCAUACAGCCCUUACGGCCUGGGAAGAGCCAUCUCUGCUGAGGGAUCCCCGAACGCGGGGACUCCGGAUCCGGCUGGCUGGAACGGGAGUCCCGGGCCGGGGCAGAGAGAGGUGAGCGGCGCCUGGGAGGCCAGUCCCACC